AAAAAAGGCCAAACUUCCUUAUCAAAGCCGGAUCUCGUCAGAUUCCUGAAGCUAAACAGAGUCGUGCCUGGUUAGGACUUGGAAGGGAGACCGCUGGGAAUACAAGGUGCCA
rnacentral:rRNA from 1 species